rnacentral:rRNA from 1 species
CAGCCGCCGCGGUAAUACGAAGGGGGCUAGCGUUGCUCGGAAUGACUGGGCGUAAAGGGCGCGUAGGCGGUUUGGACAGUCAGAUGUGAAAUUCCUGGGCUUAACCUGGGGGCUGCAUUUGAUACGUUCAGGCUUGAGUGUGGAAGAGGGUCGUGGAAUUCCCAGUGUAGAGGUGAAAUUCGUAGAUAUUGGGAAGAACACCGGUGGCGAAAGCGAGACCCUGGACCUUUUCUGACGCUGAGACGCGAAAGCCAGGGGAGCGAACGGGAUUAGAUACCCCCGUAGUCCCUGUCUCUUAUAA